rnacentral:rRNA from 1 species
GAUGAACGCUAGCGGCAGGCCUAACACAUGCAAGUCGAGGGAGAAGCCCUUUCGGGGGCUGCAACCGGCGCACGGGUGCGUAACGCGUAUGCAACCUACCUUUCACAGGGGGAUAGCCCGAAGAAAUUUGGAUUAAUACCCCAUAAUAUUAUUGGAUGGCAUCAUUUGAUAAUUAAAACUGCGGUGGUGAAAGAUGGGCAUGCGUCCUAUUAGCUAGUUGGAGUGGUAACGGCACCCCAAGGCUACGAUAGGUAGGGGUCCUGAGAGGGAGAUCCCCCACACUGGUACUGAGACAGGGACCAGACUGCUACGGGAGGCAGCAGUGAGGAAUAGUGGUCAAUGGUCGGAAGACUGAACCAGCCAUGCCGCGUGCAGGAAGAAUGCCUUAUGGGUUGUAAACUGCUUUUAUAUGAGAAGAAUAAGGCGUACGUGUACGUUGAUGACGGUACCAUAUGAAUAAGCAUCGGCUAACUCCGUG